AAGGCUUGACAUGUUCGGCAAAGUUGCUGAAAGGCAAUAGAGGUUAUCCGAACACAGGUGCUGCAUGGCCGUCGUCAGUUCGUGCCGUGAGGUGUAUGGUUAAGUUCCUAUAACGACGCAACCCUUGGGCUUAGUUACCAGCAUUCAGUUGGGGACUCUAAGCCGACUGCCCGAGUAAUCGGGAGGAAGGAAAGGAUGACGUCUGGUCGGUCAUGGCCCUUAUGCCUUGGGCCGACACACGGUG
rnacentral:rRNA from 1 species